GUAAUUUUCAUCUCGUGGUUAAGGAAGGAGCUACUUGAAUUAUGGGAAGGAACCAUGCCAAAUCUCAAUGACAAUGCUAGGCAGAUAGAAGCCUGAUCCAUUUUGUCUUGUGGCACAAUGCCGGGUUAGGUUGCGUCUCUACUCGUCGGGUUUUU